GCCAAUUAGCGACUUGAGAUCUGCAUCAGCAUCUUGUGAAUCUUGUGUCAAGACGUAACUGAAAUCCAUGCCUGGUGGUAUAACCUGUCCUCACAAAGACAGGUCAGCAGUUGUCUACUUGAUUAUAGUUUAUAUGAUAGUCACUGUGCUGUUUCAUUUAUUAGAUCUCGAAGAAGGAGUCAUACCACCAUUCGGGGCAUGUAUCGACCAAAGCAGCUGACGCCACGCCGUCUUCUAACCCUGAGCUUCCUCUCAAGCUUGAUAUCAAACCC
rnacentral:lncRNA from 1 species